rnacentral:rRNA from 1 species
UACAGAGGUCCCAAGCGUUGUUCGGAUUCACUGGGCGUAAAGGGUGCGUAGGCGGUCGGGUAAGUCUGAUGUGAAAUCUCACAGCUUAACUGUGAAACUGCAUUGGAUACUAUCCGGCUCGAGGAAUGGAGGGGAGACUGGAAUACUUGGUGUAGCAGUGAAAUGCGUAGAUAUCAAGGGGAACACCAGUGGCGAAGGCGAGUCUCUGGACAUUUCCUGACGCUGAGGCACGAAAGCCAGGGGAGCAAACGGG